rnacentral:tRNA from 1 species
GCAACUCAGUGGUGGAGUACUUGCUUAGCAAGCAGGAGGCCUUGGGUUUGAUACCCAGUGCA